AUUGAACGCUGGCGGCAUGCUUUACACAUGCAAGUCGAACGGCAGCGCGGGGCAACCUGGCGGCGAGUGGCGAACGGGUGAGUAAUAUAUCGGAACGUACCCAAGAGUGGGGGAUAACGUAGCGAAAGUUACGCUAAUACCGCAUACGAUCCAAGGAUGAAAGCAGGGGAUCUUCGGACCUUGUGCUCCUGGAGCGGCCGAUAUCUGAUUAGCUAGUUGGUGAGGUAAAGGCUCACCAAGGCGACGAUCAGUAGCUGGUCUGAGAGGACGACCAGCCACACUGGAACUGAGACACGGUCCAGACUCCUACGGGAGGCAGCAGUGGGGAAUUUUGGACAAUGGGCGCAAGCCCUGAUCCAGCAAUGCCGCGUGAGUGAAGAAGGCCUUCGGGUUGUAAAGCUCUUUUGUCAGGGAAGAAACGGCUGUGGCUAAUAUCCACGGCUAAUGACGGUACCUGAAGAAUAAGCACCGGCUAACUACGUGCCAGCACCCGCGGUAAUACGUAGGGUGCCAAGCCUUAAUCCGAAUUCCUGGGCCGUAAAGCGUGCGCAGCGGUUUUGUAAGUCUGACGUGAAAGCCCCGGGCUCAACCUGGGAAUUGCGUUAGAGACUGCAAGGCUUGAAUCUGGCAGAGGGGGGUAGAAUUCCACGUGUAGCAGUGAAAUGCGUAGAGAUGUGGAGGAACACCGAUGGCGAAGGCAGCCCCCUGGGUCAAGAUUGACGCUCAUGCACGAAAGCGUGGGGAGCAAACAGGAUUAGAUACCCUGGUAGUCCACGCCCUAAACGAUGUCUACUAGUUGUCGGGUCUUAAUUGACUUGGUAACGCAGCUAACGCGUGAAGUAGACCGCCUGGGGAGUACGGUCGCAAGAUUAAAGCUCAAAGGAAUUGACGGGGACCCGCACAAGCGGUGGAUGAUGUGGAUUAAUUCGAUGCAACGCGAAAAACCUUACCUACCCUUGACAUGUCAGGAAUCCUUGAGAGAUUGAGGAGUGCCCGAAAGGGAACCUGAACACAGGUGCUGCAUGGCUGUCGUCAGCUUGUGUCGUGAGAUGUUGGGUUAAGUCCCGCAACGAGCGCAACCCUUGUCAUUAGUUGCUACGAAAGGGCACUCUAAUGAGACUGCCGGUGACAAACCGGAGGAAGGUGGGGAUGACGUCAAGUCCUCAUGGCCCUUAUGGGUAGGGCUUCACACGUCAUACAAUGGUGCAUACAGAGGGCCGCCAACCCGCGAGGGGGAGCUAAUCCCAGAAAGUGCAUCGUAGUCCGGAUCGCAGUCUGCAACUCGACUGCGUGAAGUUGGAAUCGCUAGUAAUCGCGGAUCAGCAUGCCGCGGUGAAUACGUUCCCGGGUCU
rnacentral:rRNA from 1 species